AAAAAACAGAACUAAGAACCAAAUUAUUUUCGUGUAGAAGUCAUCCAAGAGAAUAUUGUAAGUUAUAGUGUCAGCAAUUUCUCCUUGAUGGUGCACUAUAGAAAAAAGCUUCAUAACUUUGUUGAUCUUUUCACCUUUCAGAUAUCGUAGAAUGAGUAUGUUGAAAGUUUGAGUUAGGACGACAUGGCAAUAGUAUAGAAUGUCUUGGCUGCUGUAUCCAAGUUGUUACAAUUGUAACACUAACUUUCAAUGAGGCUAAACAACUUUCCUUCUAAUCAUUUCGCAAAACAUAUCUUCAUUUUAGUCCUCUUUUGGCAUAACCAUUGAGGAUACCACCGUAAAUGAUAACAUCAAGAGCAACACCUAUUCUCAGCAUUUUACGCAUCAUCUCCUCACUCUCACGUAAUCUGGUGCUCUACAUAGGCCUCUGAUAAGCGAAUUGAACGUAUAUAUAUAUCUGGUUGUAUCUUUUUGCUAUGCAUUUCAUUGAACAAUUUAAAUGCCUUAGGUAGCUUAAUUUGUUUGCUCAAAGUUUCAAUGACCAUGUUAUACCUUUUUGCAUCAAUCGUAAUACCUCUUCUUCUAUCUGUUUCGAGAUCCAAUGCAACUGCCGCAUCCAUAGAGUCACAAGCACCUUUCACAAUAGGUCCAUAUGUUGCCACAUUUGACUGAAAUCCCAGUUUCAUCAUCUUUCUCAUAACAAUUUUUUUUAAACUCUUAUAAAAAAAUAUUUGUAUAAAUCACUUUAAAACUCUUGUAAAGUCUUUAAAAACAAUUGUAAAUCUUUUAAACUCCUGUAAAAAUCAUUAUAGAAUGUUUUAAAAGGAUAUACAAGAGUUUUUACAAAGAUUUCUAAAACCCUUAUAAAUCCUUU
rnacentral:sRNA from 1 species